rnacentral:tRNA from 1 species
GCCUCCUUAGCUUAGUGGCAAAGCAAUGCUUUCGUAAAGCAAAGACGCCAGUUCGAUUCUGGCAGGAGGCUCCA